AGGCCUAUGUCACGGAACAAUUGAAGACCGGAAGAAGCUCGCGGAGUAGGGUAACUGCUCUUCCGCUUAGCUUAGCUAAACUGUUUACCAUGGCGGAGGCAGAUCAAUACCUUUGGACCAAGUCUCUCCAACCUACCUAAAUUGUCCUACGACGACGUCCUAAGGAUAGUAAAUCAGCACUUACGUGUCGAAACAUCUAAACUACGCAAAGGAUAUAAGUUAUUCUGGGAGAAGUACAUUUUUAAUUACAUAGGUAAGUGUUUCAAAUCUGUUGACACUGUGUAGCUUGACUGUGCCAGAUAGCACUAAGUGUAAUACAUGUCAGUUAAAACGUAUCCUUUUUAAUUAAUCGCAAAAUAUUUUUUUACACUGGUAGGAAUACAUAUUUAGUUUGAGUGUCUCUGAAACUUUGCCUGACGAACCCCAAGAGGUUUGGUAUAGGUAGGUAGCCACUGCCUACCGUACAUGUAAGUGUCGAUAGUAUGUCAGAUUAGCUCCAGGCUACUGUCAGAACAUAGUGGCUGGGUGGCUGUCAUAAACUACCAAUGCCCAUACAUUUUGCUGUAUGGUGUGUUAAUCUUUCCCUCUUACUGCAGUGUCAGAUUUAGUUAAUUUGGAAGUAGCAGUUCGGGCGAACUGCUACUGUUCCCAGAAGAAAAACGCUUUUCAUAGUAUUUUGUGAAUCAAUGGGACUGUUACUUAGGCCUACCUUUCUGACCACUUUAAUUAGAUUUACAUUUUGUGAUUCAAACAGGCCCACCUCGUAAUAUGUAGCAUAAUGGAUAGCCUAGAGCAUGGUUUCAGACCUUCACAGAUUCAGUUGCAUGUUCAGUCUGUGUGUUUUUUAUUAUUAUGGUUUCUUGUUGCUGUUCCAAAAUGCUCUCUCUUUCUCCAGAUCUGCUGUUGCAGAUGAUAAUGUUUUGUUUCAUGUCUGCUGUUGCAGAUUGUCAUGUUUUGUUUUAUAUCUGCUCUUCCAGACACAUGACAACCACUUCACAGGGGAGAAAAGCGUGCCAACACCUCUGUCGUGCACCAGUGUUCUGCAGACGUGGACCAAGGACACAGGUUUAUGUGUAUACCUCAGGCCUAGCCAAACAUCCUGGGAUUCGCUCCAGGGGAAUCGCCCGGAACCCAUUGACCAACUUGUGGUCAGGAAACCCAAGGUUUGGGUUAGGUGUUUUAUUUGAGCACAUACAUGGACACAUAUCUCCUGAAUGCCAAGUAAAUAUGGCCGAGGGAUACACACACCCCAUUCCAUUUAUUUAUUUCUGUUAAAUGUAUAUAUGUAAAUAUUUUAAUCAAAGAAUUGGAAACGAACAUUCCUGAACAUUUUUUUUUAAGGUAACUGAGCACCUUUAAAACAAGCCUGAAGACUUUUAUGUUUGCAUUAGCUUUCUGCUACAUCUUAAAUACAUUGCACUUUCUAAAAAGCUUUUUUUAACUUUGCCUUUAUUUUCUAUUUUAAUACUAAAAUGCCUUUAACUUUCUAUUUUACUCAUUUCUCUGCAUAUGUUUUCUUUUACUUAUCUAUUUUAUUGUAUGACAAUGUUUAUAUGUGAAGCACUUUGAGUCUUCCCUUGUGUAUGAAAAGUGCUAAAUAAAGUUGCCUUGCCUAACACACACAGAACAUUUCAUUUCUUUCUGUUAAAUGUAAAUAUGUAUAUAUGUAAAUUUAAAAAAAAAGAACUGGAAACAAACAUUAAAUAAACAUUUGAAAAGGACGGACGGACACAAACACACACACACCAUUUUAAUUUCUUUCUGCUA
ensembl:lncRNA